rnacentral:lncRNA from 1 species
CAACACCCCUCAAAACACUUUUACAAUUAACAGUUUAGCUUUCAGAAUCUGAAACUUUUCAUCGGAGCACUUCUGAAUGUAUGUUUGCGCUCAAAUUUUAUAGUCAGGCUCGGUUUAACUUAAUAAGAACAAAAAAAUUUUAAUCUUUCAGUUCCGACCAUUUUGGUCCCCGAAAGCUCUACAGAACUGAAAUCUCUAGCAGAUCGCAGUCGGAUUUUAUUUUCUGCUUUCGGGUGUCGGAAUAACAUGAAACUUUAAAUCUAGCCUCAUAAAAAUAAUUCCAACAUAUUCCAAGAUUUUCAUAAUUUUUUGACACUGUGAAUUUUCUGCUAAAAUAUCAGUCCCGUUUCUCACAGAAAAUUCUAAAUCUUCUGUUUCCGUUCCGAUUUCAGCACGAGUCGUUUUUGACUUAUGUUUUACUUUUUUAAGUCUAAUAAAAAUAGUAUCU